CUUUUGUUUACUUUUUAUUCAAAGAUAGCCGCGUCGCUUUUCGUGCGCUUAUAAAACCCAGUUUUUGUGUAGAUUUCUGUGUACAAGCUUGAUUUCCUUGCUACCUAUCCGUGUUACCUCUGUGAUUGUGGGUGGUUGUUGUGUGCAAUUCGAUCGGGAGUUGCUAAUUUUGUUCACCUGUAAAACCUGUUACCAUGAGCGGUUCGAAUGUGGGAGCUACUAGCUGUGGAUGCGGGCAAGAAUGCAAUUGCACAAGCAUUGCUAACGAAAAUGCCAAACAAUUACAUACUUUAAAAAAUUUGAUACUAGAUGCAAAUAUGAAAUUAGAC